GACGAACGCUGGCGGCGUGCUUAACACAUGCAAGUCGAGCGAUGAAGCACCUUCGGGUGUGAAUUAGCGGCGAACGGGUGAGGAACACGUGAGAAAUCUGCCUUCAACACUGGGACAACUCCGGGAAACCGGGGCUAAUACCGGAUAUGAAACCUGCGGGCAUCCGCGGGUUUGGAAAGUUUUUCGGUUGAAGAUGAUCUCGCGGCCUAUCAGCUUGUUGGUGAGGUAAUGGCUCACCAAGGCGACGACGGGUAGCCGGCCUGAGAGGGCGACCGGCCACACUGGGACUGAGACACGGCCCAGACUCCUACGGGAGGCAGCAGUGGGGAAUAUUGGGCAAUGGAGGAAACUCUGACCCAGCGACGCCGCGUGCGGGAUGAAGGCCUUCGGGUUGUAAACCGCUUUCAGCAGGGAAGAAGCGAAAGUGACGGUACCUGCAGAAGAAGCACCGGCUAACUAUGUGCCAGCAGCCGCGGUAA
rnacentral:rRNA from 1 species